rnacentral:rRNA from 1 species
AUUGAACGCUGGCGGCAGGCCUAACACAUGCAAGUCGAGCGAGCGGCGGACGGGUGAGUAAUGUCUGGGAAACUGCCUGAUGGAGGGGGAUAACUACUGGAAACGGUAGCUAAUACCGCAUACCAUCAGAUGUGCCCAGAUGGGAUUAGCUAGUAGGUGGGGUAGAGGCUCUCCUAGGCGACGAUCCCUAGCUGGUCUGAGAGGAUGACCAGCCACACUGGACUGGAGACACGGUCCAGACUCCUACGGGAGGCAGCAGUGGGGAAUAGUGCACAAUGGGGGCAAGCCUGCUGCAGCCAUGCCGCGUGUGUGAAGAAGGCCUUCGGGUUGGAAAGCACUUUAAGCGGGGAGGCGUUACCCGCAGAAGAAGCACCGGCUAACUCCGUGCCAGCAGCCGCGGUAAUAC